UACAGAGGGUGCGAGCGUUGUUCGGAAUUAUUUGGGCGUAAAGCGCUUGUAGGCGGCCUGUCAAGUCGCGUGUGAAAUCCCCUGGCUUUAACCAGGGAAGUGCGCGCGAAACUGAAGGGCUUGAGUGCCGGAGAGGGUCGCGGAAUUCCAGGUGUAGCGGUGAAAUGCGUAGAUAUCUGGAGGAACACCGGUGGCGAAGGCGGCAUCCUGGACCGGUAUUGACGCUGAGGCGCGAAAGCGUGGGGAGCAAACAGG
rnacentral:rRNA from 1 species